ensembl:lncRNA
GGAAUACACAGCUCAUAUAAAAGCAGAGAGUAAACCAACGCCGAGUGGCAGUAGAAACAAUAUGGAGUUGUGUUUGUGUCCAGGCCUCCAGUCUACUAUGGAUGAGGAGAGAGAGGAGGGGGGUCCUACCUCUAAGACCACUCUGUCUGGGGAACAUGGCCGCCGGAGCAAAGCUAAGAGCCCAGAGCAGCAGCAGAGAGCAGACUCCCCCGGACCCAGCUGUGUCUCCAUGAAGAGUGACUGGUCUAUGGAUCAUCCUCAUAACUUUAAAGAUGGACGCCCCUCCAGAGAGGAGAGAAGGAGGCAGCAGAGAGCAGACUCCCCUAGACCCAGCUGUGUCUCCUUGAAGAGUGACCGCUCUAUGGGACGUCUUCUUAACUUUAAAGAUGGAAAUCACUCUAUUGAGAAAAGAAGAGUCCAGAAGGAGAGAGCAGACUCCCCUGGACCCAGCUGUGUCUCCUUGAAGAGUGACCGCUCUAUGGAUAUACCAUUGAUGUUUAAAGAUGGACGCCCCUCCAGAGAGGAGAGCCCAGAGAAGCAGGAGAGAGCAGACUCCCCUGGACCCAGCUGUGUCUCCAUGAAGAGUGACCGCUCUAUGAGUAUACCAUUGAACUUUAAAGAUGGACGCCCCUCCAGAGAGGAGAGGUAGGACUUUCAAACAGACGAGGAAAUCAGACCAGUUGUUUGAGAUCAGACUCUACUGAUGUCUACAAGUCUUGGGAAAUAUAAU